UAAGGAAUAUUGGUCAAUGGACGCAAGUCUGAACCAGCCAUGCCGCGUGAAGGAUGAAGGUCCUCUGGAUUGUAAACUUCUUUUAUCUGGGACGAAAACGGGAUUUUUAUCUCAAUUGACGGUACCAGAGGAAUAAGCACCGGCUAACUCCGUGCCAGCAGCCGCGGUAAUACGGAGGGUGCGAGCGUUAUCCGGAUUUACUGGGUUUAAAGGGUGCGUAGGUGGGCUUAUAAGUUAGUGGUGAAAUCUCCGAGCUUAACUUGGAAACUGCCGUUGAUACUAUAGGUCUUGAAUUAUCUGGAGGUAAGCGGAAUAUGUCAUGUAGCGGUGAAAUGCUUAGAUAUGACAUAGAACACCAAUUGCGAAGGCAGCUUACUACAUAUAAAUUGACGCUGAGGCACGAAAGCGUGGGGAUCAAACA
rnacentral:rRNA from 1 species